rnacentral:rRNA from 1 species
AUUGAACGCUGGCGGCAUGCUUUACACAUGCAAGUCGAGCGGCAGCGAGACUAGUAGCAAUACUAGUUGUCGGCGAGCGGCGGACGGGUGAGUAACACGUAGGAAUCUGCCCUUAAGCGGGGGAUAACCAAGGGAAACUUUGGCUAAUACCGCAUAAUCUCGAGAGAGCAAAGCUGCCCGCAAGGGUGGCACUUGAGGAGGAGCCUGCGUCCGAUUAGCUAGUUGGUGGGGUAAUGGCCUACCAAGGCGAUGAUCGGUAACUGGUCUGAGAGGACGAGCAGUCGCGCUGGGACUGAGACACGGCCCAGACUCCUACGGGAGGCAGCAGUGGGGAAUAGUGGACAAUGGGGGCAACCCUGAUCCAGCGAUGCCGCGUGAGUGAAGAAGGCCUUCGGGUCGUAAAGCUCUUUAGGUUGGGAAGAAGUGUAUUGGCUGAAUAAUCCAGUACAUUGACGGUACCGACAGAAUAAGCACCGGCAAACUCUGUGCCAGCAGCCGCGGUAAGAC